rnacentral:rRNA from 1 species
UACGUAGGGGGCAAGCGUUAUCCGGAUUUACUGGGUGUAAAGGGAGCGUAGACGGCAUAGCAAGUCUGAAGUGAAAGCCCAAGGCUCAACCAUGGGACUGCUUUGGAAACUGUUAAGCUAGAGUGCUGGAGAGGUAAGCGGAAUUCCUAGUGUAGCGGUGAAAUGCGUAGAUAUUAGGAAGAACACCAGUGGCGAAGGCGGCUUACUGGACAGUAACUAACGUUGAGGCUCGAAAGCGUGGGGAGCAAACAGG